rnacentral:tRNA from 2 species
GGGGUAUUAGCUCAGUUGGCUAGAGCACCACACUGGCAGUGUGGGGGUCAGGAGUUCAAGUCUCCUAUACUCCACCA